UUAAUCCUAUUUUGCUAACACUAACAACACCAGAACAUCAAAAAAAAAAAAAUGAUGUAACUAUCGUGUUUUUGACUCUUGUUCAACCCCAGCCAAGGAUGCUGCAUAAUCGAAGAUCUAUUCUUCAUUUGAUCUUGUAUACAAACCAUCUAGCAGACAAUAACCUUUGCCUGUUUGACGUGAGGACAUGGGAGCUGUGGCUACAAUACUCCAGAAAUGAACAUCCUAGCCAGGAAAAUUGUUAGUUAUGGAAAAUGCUGAAUCUGUAGAGAUCAUUUGAGUAUAACCAAUCCAGGUGGUGUAUAACCAAGCCAGGUGGUGUAUAACCAAGCCAGGUGGUGUAUAACCAAGCCAGGUGGUGUAUAACCAAGCCAGGUGGUGUACAACCAACCCAGGUGGUGUACUACCAAGCCAGGUGGUGUAUAGCCCAGCCAGGUAUUUUAUAGCCCAGCCAGGUGUUGUAUAGCUCAGCCAGGUGUUGCACAACCAAGCCAGAUAUUGCAUAAGCAAACCAGGUAUUGCAUAACAAAGUCAGGUGUUGCAUAACCAAGCCAGGUGUUGUAUAACCCUACAGCAUUUACAAAUAUACGUAAACCACAAACAAUAAA